AUGACAAGUAGAUAUUUUAUUUAAAAUUGAAAGCCCUUUCUGAAAUUGCAUAGGUAUAAUUUUGCAAGCAAUGGAUGAUUAGGAUUUCCAGAUGAGUCAUUGCUUAUGAUCAACGUCAUCAAGUGAGGACUGCUAAAUCCUGUUGGUUAAUUGAUUUUUAGAGUUAUGCCCAAGGUCAUUGGAUCUCACCACAGAAUACAAAGAUUCUAAUGAUUAAGCUCUCUGCACCCCUAACAUCCUCUCCUCUCUCCCCUUGGACCUUCAGUUUCCUUCCACCCUCUCCUCUCUCCCCUUGGACCUUCAGUUUCCUUCCACCCUCUCCUCUCUCCCCUUGGACCUUCAGUUUCCUUCCACCCUCUCCUCUCUCCCCUUGGAUCUUCAGUUUCCUUUGGGAUUUUUAGGAAUCAGGACUACCACUUACUCAGUCACUGGGCUAGUAGCCUCAAUAAGAUGGCCUGAGUGUCUCAGCACUCUCAGAAAGUCAAGAUCAAAUUGGGAUCCAGGUAAGAUGGAUCUGAAGUUAAAGAGGUUUUAUGACCCUAGUUGGCCCCUGGAAUCCGCAUGGUGGAAGGAGAAAAUCGACCCCUGACAGGUGUCCUCUGAUCUCCACAUGUGCAUCUACUGGAUAUGAGUGUGUCCACCCUAGUCAAUCAAACAAACAUAAAUCAAAUACAUAAAUAUAAAAAAAUCAAACCUUCAUUCCAAGCUCAUCCUUUGGAGUGUUUCAGAAAAGGUAAAGCUUACUUAAAACUUUCAACUCAGGGAUCAUGCUGGGAAGCACUGCUACUUGCAUUCUCUGCUAUGAGCAUCUUUAAAUGCAUAUCUUGUCCCUAUUCUGCAAUCAUUUAGGUCUCUAAAAUCUCAGGUUCAGAUUUUUAAGAGUCUCUCAAAUAAUGUAGCCCAUAUUUUAAAAUCUUACAAUCCUCAUGUCCUUCUAAAUAAGAAGAAAACCUAUUCCUAAGGCUGCGUUCCUUACCAUAGUCAUAAACGAAUGCUAACAUUAAUGAUUCAGUACUCUGGUGUAAGGGCACAUUUUAAUGCCCUUCAGGUUCUGCUGCAGAAGCCAUUCAAACUCUCAGCAGCUUAUAACCACAGCAUCUUCUUCUGAUCUACACCACAUGAUCGUCAGUGGCUGUGGUUCUGCCCCAUGCAGCGGCCCUGACAAUGCAUUUGUCUUGACAUCCCCCAGAUUUGGGUUGAAAGAAGCUCCUAUUUGCUUCAUGCUGUUUUCAGAAAGAGAACAGAGGUGGAAAUAGCUCCAGCAAAUUGUGAGCCUAUAAAUAAAACUGUAGCAUAUCAUAUCAAAGAGCUGAGUGAAAAAUUAAGGUGUUUAAUAAAAUCCACUAUAUUCAUUUUCAAUUCUAACAAAACUUUAGUUUUAACUUACUUUCCAAGGAUUUCCUAAACUUAUUCAUAUGAGUUUUAUUUAAAUUCUGUGGAUUAACCAUCAUAUCCCACCUGAAUGAGAAGAAAGUGCACCUUAGUGGGGUUUAUAAUAAAAAAUAUUGACAAGGUGAUAAAAGGACAGUAUUCAAACAUGCUAUAUGAUUAUACCUGUUAAAAUUCCAUUUAUUUUUUUCCUUUUAUUAAAGUUGGCUUUUACAGCUUCUCCCUCUGUUCCUCACGGCCCUUCUCCAUCUCCCUGACUGGAUCCACCACCUUUCUGCCUUUCUUUAGAAAACAAAUAGGCUUCUAAGAGAUUGAGAGAGCUUCUGGGUGGGGCUUGUGUCCACUUCAUCUUCCAGCUCUAGUGCAGACUCACACAGGCCCCGUGCCUGCUGCCAAUCUCUUGUGAGUUCAUAUGUGCAUCAGUCCUCAUGCUUUAGAGUCUUGAUUUCUUGGUGUCUUCAUCCACUCUGGUUUUUACAUCCUUUUAACUCUUCUACCUGAGGGUUCCUGCGGGGAGCAAUUUGAUGGAGAUGUCCUAAAUUCAGGAAGGAGUGUUCCAAGGUCUCUUAUUCUCUGUAUAAUGUCUGGCUGAGUUUCUAUAUCUGUUCCCAUCUGUACAGGAAAAAGCCUCUCUGAUCAUGGCUGAGAAAGGUACUGAUCUAUGGGUGUAGCUCAAUGUCCUUAGGAGCCAUUUUAUUACUGUGCUCUUUUAGCAGAUCAGUUCUAUUUGGUUUACCCUAGAUCCAAGCUGGCUGUCUAGUCUCAAGUUCUUACUCACCCAAGUAGUAUUAGGUAAGGGUUCCAUCUUGUGGAGUGGGCCUAAAGUUACAUCAGAUAUUGGUUGGUCACUCCCACAAGCUUUGUGCCACCACUGCACUAGCUUCUCCUGCAGGCUUCACACCAUUGUAGAUCAAAGGGUUUGUGGUUGAUUGGUGUUUAUGUUUCUCCCUUUGGAGUGUGCAGACUACCUUCUUGUACCAAAGACAUUAGAAUGUAGGGGUGAAGUCUCUAUGUGGGUACCAGCUCAACUUCUCCAUGUUCAAUGAGUUCUGUAGGUGUUGUCUGCUUUGGGGGCUUUUCAGUCAGUCUGUGGAGAGCAAAAUGUUUAAGUAUUAAAAGUUGGCACUUAGGAAUGAGGAUGGGCUAGAAGUCCACAAAUGGGAAGAAAACAGUAUAUAGCAUCAAAAUCUGCUUGUCCCCUGAGAACAGCAUUCAAGAGUGAGUAGGAGAGGCCACAAUAGUCUGCUACAGAUCUGGGGAUGAAACUGGAAAACUGCAUAUGGAGACGAGAAGGAAGAGUGACGAUCCUAAGCUCUCCUCCCUGCUGCCCUGGCAGCCUUGUCUGCAGGUUCCCAGGGAAGCUGGGAUAAAUCAAUGAGUGAGGGGAAGGAAGUUUGAUUUAUGUAUGUGCGACUAAAGAUGGGGGCAGCAGGGAGGGGAGGUUCCUGUGGGUGGUCUGCUACAGAGCUGGGGACCAGACAGUGGGACUGGAUUCAGAGAGGAAAGAGAGGUGAAGAUUGAAGUUAUGCUGGCUGUCUGCUUCCCUAUAAUUAUAUUAUAAAAGUAAUUUGUUUUUAAGGAGAAUUUAGUUUCAGAGUGAAAACAUGUGUUUUCCUACGGCUUUCUAGGAACGCUAGUGAAGCCAAAGACCUUGGAGCAGAACCUGCAGUCAGUACUUUACUAAACCAGCACAAUUCCUAACAGCAGU
ensembl:lincRNA A930003O13Rik RIKEN cDNA A930003O13 gene